GGGUUGCUUUCUAACCAUGGUGCCUCUUUGCCUUCUGGGGAAAGAAUGAGGUCUAGGGUUAAGGAGCAGAGUUAAAAAGAAUCCAGAGGUUUGCAAUAGAGAUUGAUCUAAAUACAACAAUCCUCUGCAUGGGUCAUGAGUAGAGCAUGAAUGCAGGACCACCACAGCUCAGACCUCUACUGCUUAAGCGAAAGGGUUAACUCCAUUAGCUGGUAAUAGUCAUAGACUGUUAUCUUCCAUCAGAAGAGGACACAGCACACAGUGGGCAAGCAUGUUACACAAGUACCUCUGGACUUCAGGGAAGGGACCUCUUGUUUAGAUGUGGAGGAAAUCUGGGGUGAGGGAAAGAGAGAGUGGAGAGCCCGUGUGUUCUGGAAUGGAGGACAGGUUUGCCAAAUCCCUGUGUCUGCCUGUGAGACGGGAACAUCUCUGUUUUGUUUAAAUGAUCUCUGCUCCCUGGUAGCUGCUGCUACUGAUUAGCCACCUGUGGCUCUUCCAAUCUGUCCCAGCUGGGCUCAUCCUCUCCCCAGAAUGUGUCCAUUUGCUUCACCACCUCAGACUGUGAAUCCCAUUGCAAAAGAGGAAGCUGCUGCUGCUUCCUAAGAGCUCUGAACAAGCCACACCAAGCAUGAGGAUAUCUCAGAUACAGGCCAGCCAACACCCUCAGAGGAGGCAAUAACAGGGGAAGUGAAAGCAGGAGAGUCUUGCUGUGCCAUCAGGAAGGAGAGGCCAGAUUCACUGGACCUGUGGAUAUGCUAAUUCUUUUGCCUGGAUUGCCUGAGUUUUCCUUAUCUUCUGCACAAGAUCCCAUCUCCCAGGAGGUGGUCACAGAAGAGAGAGAGAGAAACACAGCUGGAUUGUCUGAGACUUUGCAGCCAAUUCUCCUCUUGAAUUGCAAAAUGAACAGCUCGGAUCUGGAAGUCUCUGAAGAAGAAGAAAUAUGAAACCUCAUUCCUCCCCCCCAUCACCACUUUUGUGAGCAUAAUGUUGUUUAAGGAGCUGUGAGUCAGCCCAAGUGAUAUGAGAUGUUCUUGCCACUAAGGAAAAUAGUGAGCAUUCAUUAAGAAAUACUAUUUUUAUUUAUUUAUUAUUUGUAUUGCUUAAGAGCUUCUGUUAAGGGCCAAGACUCCCUUGUACAAACACAGAACAAGGAGAUGGCCCCUGCAAUUUGAAAAGCAUUAAAGGAUCCUUUCAACAGGAAA